rnacentral:rRNA from 1 species
UUAGAGUUUGAUCCUGGCUCAGAUUGAACGCUGGCGGCAUGCUUUACACAUGCAAGUCGAACGGUAACAGGCCUUCGGGUGCUGACGAGUGGCGAACGGGUGAGUAAUGCAUCGGAACGUACCCGGUCGUGGGGGAUAACGCAGCGAAAGCUGUGCUAAUACCGCAUACGAUCUGAGGAUGAAAGCGGGGGACCGAGCAGCAAUGUUUGGCCUCGCGCGAUCGGAGCGGCCGAUGUCGGAUUAGCUAGUUGGUGGGGUAAAGGCCUACCAAGGCGACGAUCCGUAGCUGGUCUGAGAGGACGACCAGCCACACUGGGACUGAGACACGGCCCAGACUCCUACGGGAGGCAGCAGUGGGGAAUUUUGGACAAUGGGCGCAAGCCUGAUCCAGCAAUGCCGCGUGCGGGAAGAAGGCCUUCGGGUUGUAAACCGCUUUUGGCAGGAACGAAA